GCUGCCUGGGUCGGCUGGGCCUGUGGGCCUGCGUCCGACAGCGCGCGGCCGUGCUUUCUAAGCGGGCUCGGCAGCACCAGACUUCACCGGCCCGGCGCGGGGCUCACAAGUGCUCGCACUCCCUGCGGCCGGCGCGCUGACCGGAGCCUCUGGGUCUCGCACGCAGCAGCUGCAGACGCUGCCCGGCGCGGUGGGGCUGUGAGCAAAACGGCCCGCCGGUGUGGUUGCCCAGACUGUGCUGGGCCCUCCUAGGUGGAUGGCCCUGCCCCAGCCUAACUUCUGUACCCCAGCAUAACCUCCAAAGUAACAGCCGUGCCCUGGGAGCCUGUUCAACACUGAACAUAUCCCACAAUAACACUGUUCCAGCGUCGCUGGUAAAAAGCAGAAAUGGCUUCGCUGGAGGCAUCGACAAAUCUAAUGCAGUAACCUCAUUUUACAGAAGAGAACUCUAAGAGGAUAACUAACUUGGCCAAGAUCACAUGAAGAAUCUCUUCCUUCUUCUACUGGUUCAUCCAUACAAAGUACAACCUACCCACAGGAAUCUCACUCAUACCAAACAUUUUCCAUCUGACUGGAAGGCUGACACCUGUUCCUGAGUGAUGUUUCUGGAUGAGAUUAGCAUUCAAAUUCGUGGACUCAUUAAAGUAGAUGGCUCUCUCCAAUAUGGGUGGGCAUCAUCCAAUCUGUUGAAGGCGUGAAGAGAACAAGAGAAGGAGGAAGGAAGAAUUCACCUUUUUUCUUGCUGCCCACCUGCUUGGGCUGGGACAUUGCAUCUCACCUUCUCCAGCCUUUGGAUGAGGAUUUACACCCUGGUUCUCAGGCCUUCAGGCUCUAACUGGAGCUACACUAUCAACUUUCCUGGGCCUCCAGAUUGCAGAUGGUGGAUCACGGUACUUUUUAGCCUCCAUCAUAAUAUGAGAAAAAAGAGGCACAGUGAAGCUAAAUAUAUUGGCUAAAGAUCACAAAGCUAUUUACUACAAAAAGGCAAAACAUCUAAAGAAGAGACUUCAAACAACAAACAAACCAAUCAGAAAUUCACAAAUCAUUGCUCUAGAGAAGAUUAUCAAGGUUAUCUGUGCUCAAUGUGUGCAUCUCAGAUCAGCAGCAUCAGCAUCACCUGGGAGCUUGUUAGAGCUGGAGACUCUCAGGCUCCACGGCAGACUUCCUGAAUCAGAAGCUACAAUUUAACAGGAUCCUCGGGUGAUCUGAAAAUGCAAUAAAGUUUGGGAAGCACUGCUGUUGGUCAUUAGACAAUCUAAUGAACUAAGACUUUUGCCGAGCAUCUGAGUUGAAAUUUUUCAAGAUGAAAAGUUGCUAAAGAAAGAGAAAGGGAAGCGGUUUGCUCCAGUAUUCCUCUUUCCACCUUCCCACUGACUGGGAAGCGGCGGUUAGCAGAGCCACAGUCUUGGAUUAGAGAUAAGAGGGACAUGUUGAGGAAGGUGGAGUCUCCCCCACAGCCCUGGACCAGGCUCCAGUGCCAACAAAAGCCAAGAAGAACCUCUGGAGCAAUCAGUCUUACGGAAUCCCUGUAUUCUAGGAUUUGGCAAGCUGUCCACUGAAACAUUAUUUUUCCCAGCCUUCUUUGCAGAGGUGGGGAAACUGAGGCAAAGGGUGUUUAAAUGGUCUGCCCAAAGUCACACAGCUAAGAAGCAGUGAUGGGAUAUGAAGUCAAACAGUCUUAAAAGCAAGCUAUCCUGUUGCAAAAUAGAAAUUAGUUGAUAACGUCUUCCAGGAGACCUACGGCCAUCCUACUGAUAUGAACCAGAUCAUACCUGCCCUGAUGGGAUGCCAGAGAAAGACUGCUGCAAGGUACGCGCCACUCACAGACCUCUCCAUUUAUCUCACUGAUGCAAAGGACCCUGAGUAGGGAUCCUCUGGAAACAGAACAGAGGGAAGAAGAUACCUUCCCUGAAGCCCAGAUGUUCCAGAAGCCUGCGCCUCAUUCACAAAGUCACCCCAAAAAUGCCCUAGAGUUUGGAGUUUUGAAGAAGCGGGAAGAAGGCCUGAGUAAGGGCCUGGGAACCAAGUUAGAUCCUACUUCAGCAUCAGCACAUGCCAGCGAUGGUGCACACAGGUGGAGAGCGGCCUGCCCGUCUUUUCCAUGGUGCCCACAGACCCAUUUAGGAUGAAAGAUCAGAAAAUUCUCUCCAUGUCACCGCUUCUGAAACAUGUGAAUAUUAAUAUUUGGUGCCUAAAAGGCCAUGGCAAAUUUUCAUUGGUUUUAUCUUAUUCAUGAUUAUAGAGUUGAAAGAAUACAUAUUCCCAUGGGGAUCAAUGAAGACAUUCUCAUUUUGAAUGAAGUAGAAUAUAAGUUGUAAAGAUAUAGAAUUUUCCUGAACUGAACCUUGAACCAAAAAUCCCCUCAAUUAACCUGGAACUAAACACAGUCCCUGAAGAUAACAAGGAGUUUCAGGAUGCCACAGGGCUGUCUGUGCAGUAUGGGGCUUCUUGCUCUAUCUCUGGUAUCUGAGGCAGAUAGGCUACUCAGGCCCCUCUCUGGUCUCAAGGUGGGCUGGCUGAGAUGUCAGUUUCUUCCUCAGUGACAGCUUGGGUACAGUAUGUGUAAACUGAUUGUCAGCUGAGCUGAAGGGACUCUGCCCAUAUUGGAGUGUUCUACAAGAAGAGGUGUCAAACCUAAAGGUCUAAAAUUACUAUGAAAGGAGUAUUGGAAACCACUGGGACAAUUGUGAUCACAACUGGUGGUAGCCUUCUCGUUUGGGUGAGAAAGACAGAAAGGAGGAAGAUGUGUUAGUCAAGGUUCUCUAGAGGGACAAAACUAAUAGGAUAUAUGUAUAUAUGAGAGGGAGUUUAUUAAGGAGAAUUGACUCACUUGAUCACAAGGUAAAGUCCCAAGAUAGGCUGUCUGCAAGUUGAGGAGCAAGGAAGUCAUUGGUGGAUUGUUCUGGGUACCAAAACCUCAAAAGUAGGGAAAUCGACAGUGCAGCCUUCAGUCUGUGGUCAAAGGCUCGAGGGGCCCUGGCAGACCACUGGUGUAAGUCCAAGAGUCCCAGAAGCUGAAGAACUUGGAGUCUGAUGUUUGAGGGCAGGAAGCAUCCAGCACAGGAGAAAGACGGAUGCUGGAAGACUUAGCAAGUCUGUUCUUUCCAAUUUCUUCUGCCUGCUUUUAUUCUAGCCAUGCUGGCAGCUGAUUAGAUGGUGCCCUCCCAAAUUGAGGGUGGCUGUGCCUCUCCCAGUCCACUGACUCAAAUGUUAAUCUCCUUUGGCAACACCCUCACAGACACACCCAGGAACAAUACUUUGCAUCCUUCAUUCCAAUCAAGUUGACACUCAAUAUUAACCAUCACAGAAGGAGAAUUUCAGGCUGAGUCCAAACACUAUGGCCCCAGCCCCAGCUUCCCCUUUCUGGGUUGAAUAACCAGACUGAGCCUAAGAAAAGGAAAAGAGUUGACUUUCUCCCAAAAGGCCUGCAGCGGGUUAGAAAGCAAUGGUUUGGGGACCAUACUGAGUGCCUAGGAUGCUCUGGACCACAAAGCUUGAAGUCAAAUUGUUCAUGCACUUGUUUCAUGAUAGGAAGAGAGAGAGAGAGAGAGAGAGAGAGAGAGAAAUUUCCUUUCCUUGAAGAAUGGCAAAACACGUCUCUUGUUCUGGGGGCUAUAUCUUGAAGGGUAUCUGAUCUCCCCCUCAUGGGAGGAACUAGAAUGCCCUAAGGCAGCCGUGGCUCCUGGAGCUGAGAGAUCUUUCUGACACUUUGUGAGAGCUGCAAGGCUAAGUCUGGAGCCAGAAAAGUCCAUGUGGACAAGUGCAGAGCAAGCAGAUCUGAGACACAUGUGGGAGCAAGCUGGACAUGUCCAAAAGUCAGAGGAAGCAAGAGCAGACAUGCAUGAGCAGGCAGAUGAGGCUGGUGCCCAGGCAGCAGGCUGAGGCUCUGGCUGGGCUUUGGAUGCUCCUGAGAGUCCAGUUAGAGACCAGUGAGCAAACCCACAGUGAACUCUUAUUCCUCACGCAGCAGGACGAGGGAUUAAGCACAAAGCCUUAAAGGUCUGAGUGUCUCUUUAUCCUGACCUCAGGAAAGAGAGGCAAGUAUCAUGUUUCUAAAAGUCUGAGAAGUCUUCACAUGACAGCCUACACCAAAAGAACUCAAAUGCACAUCCACUGCAUACACGCAUGUGUGCACACAUAUACAUGUGUACACAUGCAUGCCCACACACAACCCUCUGGAAGAGGAAGUAAAGAGACUUUAUGUUUUCAGCCCCUCUUGAGGAAACUUAAACUAAGUCUUUCUGUGGGGUUAGUGGUGGAGACAGAGAGGGUCUGGGGUCACCGAGGCCGAGGUGGCUGGACCCAGAGGGUAGAGCUGAGGGGAUCCCCUGAGACUGGGAAGAUGGAGCAGAAGCAGAUGGCAGAUGGCAGCAGGUGAGAGCAGACUGGAUUUCUCCUAAAUCACCAGAUCCAGCCAACCUUUCUUUCCUUAGGGACACCUCUAGAUCCCAUUCCAAAUGAACUCUUUCUCUGACCUUUCACCUCAAUUCAGAAUUUGGGAAAUUUAGCCAUGAUCUUAGGAACACAGAGGCUUGAAACAAUCUUUUCUAACCACCCGUUUGUUCAGACUGUGUAAGUUCUGCUUCUGCAUCCAGUGUCAACACCCAAGAACCAUUUUAAAGGGGAGCCAUCCUUUGAAAUUAAACUUCUUUUAAUAAUAAAGACAGAUUUCAGGGUUGACAUAAAAGAUAGCCACAGUAAAGCCAAUCCUCCAGUGUAUAACAUUUUUCAAAGUUUCCUUCCUCUUCAUUGCUGGUGUUCAUGUACAGUCCAGAGUUAGUCUACAUUAAAUUAUAGAUUGUUUUCAGCAAUAAUGCAAACAUUUGGAAGCCUUCAAACUCUCUGAUAACUAACUUCUACAUUCUCUCUGCUAUUAUUAUAUAGAAAGGGAAAUUUUACCUGAUGCUGUUAAAGUCCUCACGAACAUAGUGAUCCGAAUUGGCUGAAGUGGAAAACUAAAUGUUAGCUGAUUUUCAAAACAAGAUUUCCACUCUGAAUUCCCAUUUUUCACAUGUGAUCAUAUGCCUUGUUGUGAAGUUGAACUAAAAAGAAACUCCAUGCCCACUGGCUUAAUGCUAGAAGAUAAUCUACAGCAUAGUAAUUUCUUAGACUUCACUUUAUUAGCCACUAAACUUGGAAUGAUUAUUUCUAUGUUCAAUUAUUAAGUCUAUAUCUCCAUUUCUUAAAAAGGUCUGAGGCAGCCCCUUUGAAUAUUAAUACGCAUUUAUUUUCACCUCUCAAAUAAAAAAAUAGUUCACAGUG
rnacentral:lncRNA from 1 species